GCUGCCUCGGCUCCGGCGCGUCCCGGACAGAAAGCAGCUCGUAGCGGAGAGGAGUCCGACCGGCAGCAGCAAAGCCCGCGCUGUGAAGGGAAAAAAGAAAGAAGAAAAAAAAGGUCAGAUGAAAAGAUUGUGAGAUUCUUACACAAUCACUUCCCUCCUGAAGCUGCUACUUUAAAGAAAACACCAGCAACUCACAAAAGACAGCAACCUCAGCAGACUGACUCAUCCAAGCCUGGCAUGGGCAGCCAGCAGAAAAGUCAGGAUUAAAAAUGAGGUGUUUCCUGACCUUGCAGCACUCGUUUUCUUUCCUGUGUGAGAAAUGCUUCAUUUUAGGUCACUUGGAAGGUGGCUGUGGUGGAGGAAUGCCCUUUUGAUCGGGCCCGGGGAGGGAAGAAGUCGUGGCACAGCACUCAAAAGUGGAUGCAACAGCAGAGAGCAUGAGAUGGGAGAAGGCUUAUACCCAGGCAGAGCUACAUAGCUCUUCUGCCAGGCUACUCUGGCUCUUCCCAUCAAGAUCCAGUCAUAAAAGCACUUCUAGUUUCCCUCACUUACAUACAGCAACUCAGUUAUGCAAAGAAACAACUCCAUCCUGACUCUACAUCUCACUAUAAACAUACAAAAUCCCUUUAUCUUGCUGGGGGUUGGGACUGUGAUUUCUGCUUUCUGUCCAGAUUAAGAACAUUAAUGUCUAAAUGCAGCAUUUGGCAUUAUACGCUUUUUCAGUACGAAAUAACAUAUACUGGAAGCAGGAAGUAUCAUUAAUUCCACUUGAUUCACAAUGUAUUUUUCCACUCUGUGAAAUAACUUAGAGAGAAAUUGAAACCGUCUUAUCGCAGGGUUGCUCUGCACAUUGGGUACACGCCUGCUAACAAAAUGUACCAGUGACGGACCAGAACCUGACAGGCUCUUGGUAGGAAGAUGACUCUCCUGCAGUCCUGGUUGCAUAAGGUAUUUAGUUACUUGGUGCUUUGAUCUAGCAACUAGAGCAGAACAUUACACACAAAUUUGUGUGUGUUCUCCUCAAUCUGCUUAUUAGAGCUGGCUGGAGGAAGCAGAGAAAGGACAGCAAGCAUAUCCACAACCGACAGCUCACUUGAUCUCGCUCUGAAGGAGAAAUAUCAAUACUGAUCAGAUACACAAGUAUUCCUCAUGUAAAGCACUUCGGUUGCCUUUAACAAAGAUGUCAUACAUAAGCAUAAAUUCUUGCAUUGGUGCCAGUCACCUCGAUACUUAAACCAAACAGAAAGCGACAGCCACAUGCUCCGUUUGGUCCUCAGUAGAAAGCAGCCAACCAAGGAACACCAAAUUGAAGCAAGGCCUGUGUUAGGAAAAUAUCAGUGUUUCUCUAGGAGAUAAAUGUCUGUUUACUGCAAUGAUGCAUGCUAUCGCCCUUUACAAUCCUCACUUGGAACUGAGGUAUCCCAACCACAUGCUUCCCCUGAGUUAUAUCUCUCUCCAGCAAAAGGGGCUUCAUGUCAGAGUGCACUUGUUUGUAAGAGGCACUACCUAAUAGUAAAAUCUUAUUAUAACUGUCCUAACUCAAUUUAAGCAGUACAAGGAGACAUCAGCCACUGUGACUGUCAAGACAGUCCAGAUGGAUGUGGAAAGAGGAAAAAAUUCUGUAUUUUUGUCAAAUUCUUUUCCUGUAGUCUUUGUGAAUUGUUCUGAAAACAAGAGUAAAGAUGUACAUUGCGA